rnacentral:lncRNA from 1 species
UUAUUGAUUGGUGGAGUAUAUAUUAAUUAUUCACUACAGAGGGGGUUCCGUGGACCAGCCUAUUAGAGGGGCACGGUAAACUCCAUUAUAUUCUUACCUCGAAUGGAGAGGCGCAUAGGGUAUCUCCUGGGGUAAAGCUUAGGGUUCACUUCACGCCAAACCACCACGUGAAGGAGAACUCAGCCAACGCCAAGGAACGGCUGUAUUUUUCUCAAACUAAAAAUAUAUUUUAAGUGUAUACAAAAAUUUUAACCACCUUGGCGGACUCAGUUGAAUGCCCUGCGUAAGGUAUCACCGAGUAUGAGUUUUGGCACGAGCCAAAGUUUUAAGAAAUUCAUAAGCCAAGUUGAUUACUCGAUUUAUAUGGAUUGAUUUUAUUUGGUUGAAAUGAGUUGAAAGGUAAUGAAAUUACAGUAUGAUGACUUAUUUCAAUUGUCUCCAUUUACUCGACUUUAGAUAGUUUAGAUGGUAUCUCCACCCUCAUUUCCUCACAUUUCAGGUUCGGGGAAUUCCAUAGUUAGCUAACUUUGACAAGGACCUUCAUUGGGACUCGAAUCGGUAAAAGCUGUAGGUUUCCAGCUUCCGAUGCAUUUUGGUUAGAUGUGGGCCCACGUGUCACUGUAAAAGAAAUUUUAUGUUUUGGUUAUUUGCUUUAUAGUAUAUAUGAAUAUAAUUAACUUUUACGCUAUAAGAAUUAUGUACCGAU